rnacentral:rRNA from 1 species
GAACCUUACCAGCCCUUGACAUGUCCCGUAUGGGGCCGAGAGAUCGGCUUCUUCAGUUCGGCUGGCGGGAACACAGGUGCUGCAUGGCUGUCGUCAGCUCGUGUCGUGAGAUGUUGGGUUAAGUCCCGCAACGAGCGCAACCCUCACCUUCAGUUGCCAUCGGGUCAAGCCGGGCACUCUGAAGGAACUGCCGGUGACAAGCCGGAGGAAGGCGGGGAUGACGUCAAGUCCUCAUGGCCUUUAUGGGCUGGGCUACACACGUGCUACAAUGGCGGUGACAGAGGGAGGCAGAGGGGCGACCCCGCGCCAAUCUCGAAAAGCCGUCUCAGUUCGGAUUGUUCUCUGCAACUCGAGAGCAUGAAGCUGGAAUCGCUAGUAAUCGCGGAUCAGCACGCCGCGGUGAAUACGUUCCCGGGCCUUGUCACACCGA